rnacentral:rRNA from 1 species
AACAGAUUUACUUCGGUAAUGACGUUAGGAAAGCGAGCGGCGGAUGGGUGAGUAACACGUGGGGAAUCUGCCCCAUAGUCUGGGAUACCACUUGGAAACAGGUGCUAAUACCGGAUAAGAAAGCAGAUCGCAUGAUCAGCUUUUAAAAGGCGGCGUAAGCUGUCGCUAUGGGAUGGCCCCGCGGUGCAUUAGCUAGUUGGUAUGGUAAAGGCUUACCAAGGCGAUGAUGCAUAGCCGAGUUGAGAGACUGAUCGGCCACAUUGGGACUGAGACACGGCCCAAACUCCUACGGGAGGCAGCAGUAGGGAAUCUUCCACAAUGGACGCAAGUCUGAUGGAGCAACGCCGCGUGAGUGAAGAAGGUUUUCGGAUCGUAAAGCUCUGUUGUUGGUGAA